AGUGAACGCUGGCGGUAGGCCUAACACAUGCAAGUCGAACGGCAGCACAGUAAGAGCUUGCUCUUACGGGUGGCGAGUGGCGGACGGGUGAGGAAUACAUCGGAAUCUACUUUUUCGUGGGGGAUAACGUAGGGAAACUUACGCUAAUACCGCAUACGACCUACGGGUGAAAGUAGGGGAUCUUCGGACCUUGCGCGAUUGAAUGAGCCGAUGUCGGAUUAGCUAGUUGGCGGGGUAAAGGCCCACCAAGGCGACGAUCCGUAGCUGGUCUGAGAGGAUGAUCAGCCACACUGGAACUGAGACACGGUCCAGACUCCUACGGGAGGCAGCAGUGGGGAAUAUUGGACAAUGGGCGCAAGCCUGAUCCAGCAAUACCGCGUGGGUGAAGAAGGCCUUCGGGUUGUAAAGCCAUUUUGUUGGGAAAGAAAAGCAGCAGGUUAAUACCCCGCUGUUCUGACGGUACCCAAAGAAUAAGCACCGGCUAACUUCGUG
rnacentral:rRNA from 1 species